AUCAACACUAAAAUCCAACAGCUGCUGGAAUCGCUAUUCUCAUAAAGGUCCCAUGACAUGCCAACACGUGUGGGUUGAUUAGCCGUUUUUCAAGCCGUUCUGGAAAUCUGUCCCUUAUGACCUCACAGGUGGGCGUGUCCACCUAGAUGUGUACUAGGUGGACACGCCCACCUGUGAAGUCAAUGUAUGCAUUGCACGGCUAGCUGUGUGUGCAAUACAAAGUCAAGUUGUGUUUUCGAGCUGGUUUGCUAAAGAGGCUAAUGUAGCUAACAAAACAAUGACUAGCCAAUGGGAAACGGGAAUGCUAUAAGUGCUGCAAAACAGGAAAGUACGUCACGUUCUCGCUAGAACAGGUUGUACUACUUCUCUACUUCCGGGGUAUGGAGCCUCGCAUAGUACCAAAACAUCCAUUUAUGGCGUACAUGAUUCAUUUCCCUUGCUGGCCGUCGAGUAACUUCUGAGUUCUAUUUAGUGCUUGAAUAAGUGUUUGCUGAAUAUAGCUGGCCCAUUGUCUGAACUUAUCUCUGAUUGAAUUUCAAACCUUGGCAUGACUUUUCCAGUCAGAAACUUGAUUACUGUAGCUGCACUUUGGUCUUUUGAUGGGACUGCUUCUACCCAUCUGCUGAACCUGUCAAGGAUAACUAACAUGCACAACAUGUCAACAUAGUUCAUGACCAGUAGCGUGCGGUGGUGUUUCAGUCAGGGCCAGCAAUAAUAACACACACCCCCCCCCCCCCUGCAAAAAAAAAAAAAUUACUGUUGCCUAUGCUGAUACAGCCAACGAGCCAACGCAGCAGCCGCACAUUAUGUCCUACACACAUACAGUACAAUACAAUAUAAGGCCACUAUUAUGCACCAGUGAUUAAUUUAAUCCACACCAACAGGACAGCUGACCAACAACUAGUACAACACAUCAAGACACCACUGCGCAGCAUCGCCUUCAGAUCAUCUUCCAGUGUUUCCCGCACGGAGACUGUGACGUGGGGGGCGGGGCUGUCUCUGUGCGUGUGCGUGUGUGUGUGUGUGAGCUGUGCGGAGAUGAAUGAAUGAAUGGCCUUGUCCGAACCGAAAGCUGACGCCACGAUUGUUGUGGGACAACACUUUACAAUCAAAAACAGCACCAAAUCUAAUCCAGAGAAAGUAAAAAAAAUAUAAAAAUAAACUAGCACUCACCCAUCAUUUGUAGAUGAAAUCCAUCCUGCGAUCCUUUCUGAUAAAUCGCUCUAUGACGUCCUCGUGCAGUUGUCCAUGCUGCUUGAGAUGAAC
ensembl:lncRNA